GGGUGUAUAGCUCAGCUGGUGGUAGCGUGUGACUGUUAAUCACAAGGUCCUCCGUUCAAGUCGGAGUACACCCGCCA
rnacentral:tRNA from 1 species